AGAAUCUUUCGCAAUGCCCGAAAGGGUGACGAAGCGACGCCGCGUGUGGGAAGAGGGCCUUCGGGUUGUAAACCACUGUCGGGAGUUAAGAAAUGUAAGGAUGUUAAUAGCGUCCUUACUUGACUAAGGCUCCGGAGGAAGCCACGGCUAACUCUGUGCCAGCAGCCGCGGUAAUACAGAGGCGGCAAGCGUUGUUCGGAAUUAUUGGGCGUAAAGAGCACGUAGGCGGCCCUGAAAGUCAGUUGUGAAAGCCUUCUGCUUAACGGAAGAACAGCAUCUGAUACUGCAGGGCUUGAGUGCGGGAGGGGAGAGUGGAACUUCUGGUGGAGCGGUGAAAUGCGUAGAUAUCAGAAGGAACGCCGGCGGCGAAAGCGGCUCUCUGGCCCGUAACUGACGCUGAGUGUGCGAAAGCUAGGGGAUCAAACGGGAUUAGAUACCCCGGUAGUCCUAGCCGUAAACGAUGGGCACUAAGUAGAGGGGUUUUGAUUAUCUCUCUGCCGGAGCUAACGCAUUAAGUGCCCCGCCUGGGAAGUACGGCCGCAAGGCUAAAACUCAAAAGAAUUGACGGGGGCUCGCACAAGCGGUGGAGCAUGUGGCUUAAUUCGAUGCAACGCGAGGAACCUUACCGGGGUUUGACAUGGUAGAAGUAGGAACCAGAAAUGGUAACGAACGGUAUCCAGUCCGUAACUAUCACAGGUGUUGCAUGGCUG
rnacentral:rRNA from 1 species